CGAAUUUGAAAUAAAUCAAAUGCGAAAGUGGUGCGAAACCAAAAAUAAAAGAGAGAGGAGCAACGGGAGAAGAAGGUGGCUAUGUUGGGGCUUCAACAUUACAUAAUAUCGAGGCUAUUUGGAGCUAAGAUUCACUUGGGUGCUUUUUUGAUUGACUUGAGAAGUGGAGGUAAUUGGAAAUCUAAACUCCCCUGUAUCCCUGUCCAAGUGUUUUUGGUAUUUUUGAAAAGAUGAGAUUGUAUAUUUAUGAAUGAAUCUUGUUUGAAAUUGUCCACGGAUGUCCCUUUAAUAUUUAAUAUUGUUAAGGCAGUUAUACGGGCACACCGCACAAACUAGUAUUAUAAUCUCACGGAUACGUAAACUUGAACGAGAAGAGCGAAGUUCGUUUAGCAGAGGGGACGAAUUCUCGCUCGUCCAUAGAUAUUGAAGUAACUUGUUACUGGAGAGUUCACAAUGUACAUGUACCUUAACAAAAAUGUACACAUUUAAGAUCCCGCAGGAUCUCACGUGUAUGAUGAUAUAACUAGAAAAACCUGACGAGUAAACCCUGUACUCUAUGCUUUGGCCAAAAGAGAACCCUCUAAAGGCCUAUUGCCUUGUAUAUACCAAAAUAAUAAUAAUAAUAAUAAUAAUAAUAAUAAUAAUAAUAAUAAUAAUAAUAAUCUCGUAUUUUCUAAAUCAUGUCUCCAUUCUUCGAUCGUAAAAAUAUGACAGGUGCCGCAGGCUUUGUAUGACACGAUUCCCCCCAGUCUCCAUUGUCCCUCCUCUCUUCCAUCCUCCAAUGUUGAAUUCACAGCAGAGAAAACACUCGGAAUGUUAGUGGGGCAGAGGGUAUCAGAACAGAACCCCAUCGACCAAUAGAUUUUCCACUUAUUAGUCCCUCACUUCUCUUUUCUGUAAGGCCUGUGUGGGGUAGAGAAGCAUCGUCAAUGAUAGCGAAAAUAACAAACCAACGAUCCCACUGAAUGGCUGGAAUGGAUGAGUCCCAAUUAACCAAACAGGGAAGUUGCUCCCAUAGCUUAAAAAUUUGCCCUUUUGCAAGAUAAAAUUGGACGCCAUCAUCCCCGUGCGUAGCCCAAUUGGGAUCAAGAGACUACCUCCAUGUCUCUGUCGGGUGCCCGACAGAGACAGCGAUAAAAGCCAAAGUCCUAGUAUUGCUUGUGGAGACCUGAAAAAU